rnacentral:rRNA from 1 species
UAUCUGCAGUCGAGGGGCAGCGCAGUGUAGCAAUACAUGGGGCGGCGACCGGCAAACGGGUGCGGAACACGUACGCAACCUUCCUUCAAGCGGGGGAUAGCUUUCGGAAACGAAAAUUAAUACCCCAUAGUAAUAUCUGAGGGCAUCUGAGGAUAUUUAAAGAUUUAUCACUUGAAGAUGGGCGUGCGCCUGAUUAGGUAGUUGGCGGGGUAACGGCCCACCAAGCCUACGAUCAGUAACUGGUGUGAGAGCACGACCAGUCACACGGGCACUGAGACACGGGCCCGACUCCUACGGGAGGCAGCAGUAAGGAAUAUUGGUCAAUGGACGCAAGUCUGAACCAGCCAUGCCGCGUGGAGGAUGAAGGUCCUCUGGAUUGUAAACUUCUUUUAUCGGAGAAGAAACCCCUGAAUUCUUUUAGGGUUGACGGUACCCGAUGAAUAAGCACCGGCUAACUCCGUGCCAGCAGCCGCGGUAAUACGGAGGGUGCAAGCGUUAUCCGGAUUCACUGGGUUUAAAGGGAGCGUAGGUGGGCUGGUAAGUCAGUGGUGAAAUCUCCGGGCUUAACUCGGAAACUGCCGUUGAUACUAUCAGUCUUGAAUGUUGUGGAGGUAAGCGGAAUAUGUCAUGUAGCGGUGAAAUGCUUAGAUAUGACAUAGAACACCGAUAGCGAAGGCAGCUUGCUACACAAUUAUUGACACUGAGGCUCGAAAGCGUGGGGAUCAAACAGGAUUAGAUACCCUGGUAGUCCACGCCCUAAACGAUGGAUACUCGACAUACGCGAUACACAGUGUGUGUCUGAGCGAAAGCAUUAAGUAUCCCACCUGGGAAGUACGACCGCAAGGUUGAAA